ensembl:snRNA U4 U4 spliceosomal RNA
GGCUUUGUGCAGUGGCAGUAUUGCAGCCAAUGAAGUUUUUUGGAGGCGCGAUUAUUGCUAAUUGAAACCGACAAAUGCUCCAAAUUUGCCAACCUUUUCUGUGAUGACAAGUGGCUGACAACAGUACGCCAUCCAAUAAGUAUUUUGAAAAAUAUUUUUCAGAUGAUGAGAUCUGGAAGUGUUUUCAUCA